rnacentral:rRNA from 1 species
UACGUAGGCGGAAAAUUAAGUCAGUAGUGAAAUCUCUCGGCUCAACCGAGAAACUGCCAUUGAAACUGAUAGCCUUGAGUGUAGUUGUAGUAGGCGGAAUAUAGCAUGUAGCGGUGAAAUGCUUAGAUAUGCUAUAGAACACCGAUCGCGAAGGCAGCUUACUAAACUAUUACUGACGCUCAUGCACGAAAGCGUGGGGAGCAAACAGGAUUAGAUACCCUGGUAGUCC